AGUGAACGCUGGCGGUAGGCCUAACACAUGCAAGUCGAACGGCAGCACCGUAAGAGCUUGCUCUUACGGGUGGCGAGUGGCGGAAGGGUGAGGAAUACAUCGGAAUCUACUUUUUCGUGGGGGAUAACGUAGGGAAACUUACGCUAAUACCGCAUACGACCUACGGGUGAAAGCAGGGGAUCUUCUGACCUUGCGCGAUUGAAUGAGCCGAUGUCGGCUUAGCUAGUUGGCGGGGUAAAGGCCCACCAAGGCGACGAUCCGUAGCUGGUCUGAGAGGAUGAUCAGCCACACGGGAACGGAGACACGGUCCAGACGCCUACGGGAGGCAGCAGUGGGGAAUAUUGGACAAUGGGCGCAAUCCUGAUCCAGCCAUACCGCGUGGGUGAAGAAGGCCUUCGGGUUGUAAAGCCCUUUUGUUGGGAAAGAAAAGCAGCAGGUUAAUACCCCGCUGUUCUGACGGUACCCAAAGAAUAAGCACCGGCUAACUUCGUG
rnacentral:rRNA from 1 species